AGAGUUUGAUCCUGGCUCAGGACGAACGCUGGCGGCGCGCCUAACACAUGCAAGUCGAACGGAGCUGAGAGGAGCUUGCUUUUCUUAGCUUAGUGGCGAACGGGUGAGUAACGCGUGAGUAACCUGCCCUGGAGUGGGGGACAACAGUUGGAAACGACUGCUAAUACCGCAUAAGCCCACGGCCCGGCAUCGGGCUGCGGGAAAAGGAUUUAUUCGCUUCAGGAUGGACUCGCGUCCAAUUAGCUAGUUGGUGAGGUAACGGCCCACCAAGGCGACGAUUGGUAGCCGGACUGAGAGGUUGAACGGCCACAUUGGGACUGAGACACGGCCCAGACUCCUACGGGAGGCAGCAGUGGGGGAUAUUGCACAAUGGGGGAAACCCUGAUGCAGCGACGCCGCGUGGAGGAAGAAGGUUUUCGGAUUGUAAACUCCUGUCGUUAGGGACGAUAAUGACGGUACCUAACAAGAAAGCACCGGCUAACUACGUGCCAGCAGCCGCGGUAAAACGUAGGGUGCAAGCGUUGUCCGGAAUUACUGGGUGUAAAGGGAGCGCAGGCGGACCGGCAAGUUGGAAGUGAAAACUAUGGGCUCAACCCAUAAAUUGCUUUCAAAACUGCUGGCCUUGAGUAGUGCAGAGGUAGGUGGAAUUCCCGGUGUAGCGGUGGAAUGCGUAGAUAUCGGGAGGAACACCAGUGGCGAAGGCGACCUACUGGGCACCAACUGACGCUGAGGCUCGAAAGCAUGGGUAGCAAACAGGAUUAGAUACCCUGGUAGUCCACGCCGUAAACGAUGAUUACUAGGUGUUGGUGGGUACGACCCAUCGGUGCCGCAGCAAACGCAAUAAGUAAUCCACCUGGGGAGUACGUUCGCAAGAAUGAAACUCAAAGGAAUUGACGGGGACCCGCACAAGCGGUGGAACAUGUGGUUUAAUUCGAUGAUACGCGAGGAACCUUACCCGGGCUUAAGUUGCAAAUGAAUGUUCUGGAAACAGAUCAGCCGCAAGGCAUUUGUGAAGGUGCUGCAUGGUUGUCGUCAGCUCGUGCCGUGAGGUGUCGGCUUAAGUGCCAUAACGAGCGCAACCCUUAUCGAUAGUUACCAUCAGGUUAUGCUGGGGACUCUGUCGAGACUGCCGUCGUAAGAUGUGAGGAAGGUGGGGAUGACGUCAAAUCAGCACGGCCCUUACGUCCGGGGCUACACACGUGUUACAAUGGGGGGUACAGAAGGCAGCUACCUGGCGACAGGAUGCUAAUCCCUAAAACCUCUCUCAGUUCGGAUUGGAGUCUGCAACCCGACUCCAUGAAGCUGGAUUCGCUAGUAAUCGCGCAUCAGCCACGGCGCGGUGAAUACGUUCCCGGGCCUUGCACUCACCGCCCGUCA
rnacentral:rRNA from 1 species